CUCAGUAUCAGUGAGCUUUUCAAACAGUGUGUUUGCAAACAAUUUGUUUGCUGCUGGAAUUCCUGUUCAUCUCAUUGAUAGGUCAGAACAGAGCUUUACUAGGCACAAAGCUUGAAGCCUAAAAUAGAUCAGUUGAAUUCUAUUUCUACUGCACAGACAGAGCUCGCUCUAUUGCAGCAUUCCUUUUUUGGCAGAAGGGAAAGCUUAUCUCUAGCAACCUCACCUGCUGCCCUGAGAUGCACAGUUCCUUCCUGUUCCUUCACAGUGAGUUGUUCAACCAUACCAAAAGAAGCAGUGGAUAUCAUGAGCCUUUACAGUCUUUCUAAUUGGGGAGCACUGGAUAAAGAAGACUUCUUCAGUCCAAAAGGAUAAUGUGACACUCAAUCCCCACUCUCACUGAGGCAUACCUCUGUUUGGCAAAGAGAAGAGGCUGACCCCACCUUGCUAUAUCCUUCUUUCCAGGUUGUUGUAGAGAGCAAUGAGGGCCUGCACAGUAAAAUGUUAGCUGGUUGAUGAGUAUAUUUUGUUAGGGGGAAGCAAAGCUCCUCAGCAUCUGUGGGAGUGAUCAUCCACUCAAUCUGACUGAGAAAUAGAUCUUGUCUUGCUUCCUCCUAUGCCUGCUUUCUCAGUUGUCUCGAAGGAUGCACACAGCAGAGCUCUGGGCAGGGCUGCUGGGUCUGAUGGGUGCCUUAGGUCUGAGCAGUAGGCAGAGUUCCUGCAGAGACCCGGCAGGAGCAGUGUGCAGCAGGCUUCAGGGUGGGAAGCCCUCAGGGAGAAAAUGGUCUCUGACUUUUGUCAGCUGUUCUCUGUCUUCAUGUGUGUGCUCUGAGAGCAGAUGUUUGGGCAGGCUUGCCUGUGUAAGCACUUUAAUGCAUAAUUUAAAUAAAUAUUAAUUACUGUUGUAAACAAUUAUUUUCAGUUAUUCCCCAGUGAAUGACUAGGAUCAGGUCUGCUGUUGGGCAAAAGCCAAGGUCCUGCAGUGACCAAAGAGCUGCAUGGAAGCUGGGGCCUUGCUGCCAAGCAGCAGUGCUGCGAGUACAGGAGAUGGCAGAAGAAAGCCCUGCAAUGAGUUCAUUUGCAAGUUAGUCCCACAGCGUCAGCAAGAGGAAACAACAGCACAGUGCCAAGUGGUAGUCCUGCUCACUUCCAUUCAGUCUCAGUCUACAUGAGAAGCUCCGAUCUCAGAACAGCCCUCCAGCAUCAUUGCUUUUCCGGUGCACUUGCCAGCUAUCCAACCAGACUUUAUAAAGAAGACGCGUGAUUUUCUCUCCUUUCUCUCCACCCCACCAGACGUUUUUUCUAUUAAAGAAUCUAAACAUGUUUGGUCUCUUCCUAAUAAAAACUGUUAAUAAUUACUUCAAGUAUACAAAGACUUGCUGCUUUUCUUUUUCUUGGUAAGAUGUUCUGUUUCUUACUCUUGGUGCUACAGCCAUCACCCUGACUUUUGGAUAUUUGGCAUAAUAUAUUCAGUAGGAAAAUGGAAUUACUAAUAUCUCUUCAGAUAAUUUCCUUGGCUUUUGGACUCUACUUCUCAGCACAAAUCUGUGAGUAUGUUGUUGAUCCUGCUUGACAGACUUAAAACCUGUUGGGAGAUGAGUCUUGGAGCAAAUCUGAAGUCCAGCUCAUCUUGAUGUCUCACCACAGAGGACAAAUCUUCCAUUCUGGGAGAGAGAGUGAGAAGCUGAUCAGAAGUGCUUACUGACCCUCUCUCCUCCAGGCUACAGGGAGGGUGUCAUGACCAUCAACCUGAUUUGACCGAAGGCAGGCUGGGAACUUCAGAAAGGCCAAACAAUGGCCUGCUAAUGAGAUUUAAGCCAACCUGGGUAGAAAGUCAUUGGUUUUGAUAAGAAUUAUGUGUCCAUCCAUCCAUCCAAAGCACAGGAUUAUGUCACUGUGAGCAUUAUGGGAGCCACAGAAAACUGCUUUAAGAAUACCCAGAACUUUGUCAUAUGUUCACAGUAGUUUUAUAUCAAACUCACAGAAGACUGUUCUCGUUGUGCAUCAGGUAGAUCAUUAUAUUUUGGCAUGACUUUCAUCACUGCACUGAAACCCUCAUCUCGUUUUGCAAAACUCACAAGCUCCAUUGUGUCUGGUAUGGGCAGUAUCCCCCAUCGGCAUCUUGAGCAUCUGGAGCCACUGCCAUUGGAUCUGCACUCUCUUGCAGAAGCAUGAAAAACAUAAAAUUAAUAAAAUAAAUCUUCUAGUAAGCAAAGCAAGGAAGAAUUGCUACAGAUGGUGCCUAUGUCUUUUUCAGCUACCUGGACAUCAGGAGGAGAGGGGCAAAGAGGCAGAAAAAGUUAUUUAAAGAUCUUCUAGCUCUCUUCCAUCUGUAGGUGCCCUCCUACAAAUGAAUCUUUGAAAAUGCUCCCAAACUUCUCUUUCUACCUUUUUCUCCAUGUAAUUCUUAUUCUAAUAUUUUACUUCUACACCUCUGAUAAUCGGUAUUGGCUAAAAUGGAUUUUUCUGUCCACUUUCCCUGUUUUUUCCACUGCACUUUAGCUCACACUUCCUCCAGUUCAUGAUUAGCAAAGAUUUUAGACCCAACUCCCUCUUUCAAUCACUGCAUGAUCCAAGUCUAGCUGCUUCCUCCUACAUAAUAGCUCACAGAUACAACCUUUCUCUCAGCUGCCUGCUAAGACUCAUAGCAGGAUCCUAUCAUUUUGCACUUUGUCUGUAAUAAUCUGGUCUCCAGCCAUGUUCCAGCCCUACUGAUGCCUUUACUUCCAUUCAAAACACAGAGAUCAGAACCAUGUUCCUGGCCCGUUGCUUUGGCUGCAUCACUGCGCUCCUUCUGUCCAUCCACUGGCUUCACAUUUCCAAACACAAGCAUCUUUGCCUUUGUCAGUUCCUCUCCAUGAUCUGGCAAAGAUGACAGCCUCGCUCAGCAUGUUUGCUUCUUUCUCAGAAGAAAAGGAAGUUACUUCUAUGCUUUCAUCUGCCUGUUCCCUAUGCAUAAGGAAAAACACUAUGGAAAAUGUGUAAUUUAACAUCUCCCAAUUCCUAUGCAGGCUUCUCUGUCUGUGGACAGACAAAUUCUAUAAUUCCUCUCCUGCACUGGCC
ensembl:lncRNA